UACGGGGGGGCAAGCGUUGUUCGGAAUUACUGGCGUAAAGGGUUCGUAGGUGGCCCGCUAAGUCACACGUGAAAUCCCUCAGCUUAACUGGGGAACUGCGUGUGAGACUGGCAGGCUUGAGUGCAGGAGAGGAACGCGGAAUUCCAGGUGGUAGCGGUGAAAUGCGUAGAUAUCUGGAGGAACACCGGUGGCGAAGGCGGCGUUCUGGACUGUAUCUGACACUGAGGAACGAAAGCCAGGGGAGCAAACGGGAGUUAGAAA
rnacentral:rRNA from 1 species